GAGCUCAGGGCCUUCUGGGUUCACGGGGGCGGGUUACCUCCAAUUGUGCCUGCGGCUGUGGGCGCGGCGAGGGGAGGCGGGCCCGACCUUCGGUGACUUUUUGUAUACAUUUCCCGACCGUGGGCCCUGCGCCCGUGCCCGAUCCUCCGGCGCCCGAGGUCAAGGAGACCCUGGCGCAGUCAGUUCUCCCAGCCCUGUCCCCGCCCCGUGGGAAGCGUGGAUCCAAGCAGCGGCGGCCGGUUGGAGAGUGGAUGCACCUUUUCUCCUUUUUGGCGACCUCACUCCCCUUCUCCGUAGGGUUUCUUUACGUUCCUCAAGGUUAGGACAAGGUGACUGGGCGUAUGGUCGGUGGUGAGCCCGCUGGGCCCAGCGCCUGAAGUCCUCACUUCUCAUCUCUCAGCAGCAGAGACUUGCUAUCCAGGUGUAUCUACUGUUGCUAGGCCUGGAGUCUGGAGAAGAAAGUAUCCUCCUGUUCCAUCUUUCAGGGAUGCUGCGGAACAGAUAGCCAAGAAUGGGGGCGGGGGUUAUCCAGCCCCGGAUAUAGUAAAUAGUAAUAACAGUAGAGACUCACCUUUGCGUAAGAUUGAAGGAUUUUUAAUUCUUUACCUUAUUUUGAGUCAUAUAACCAUCUGAUGAGAUGAUUAAUCUUAUUUGACAGGUAAUGAAAGUAAGUGAAAGUUAACUGCUGUCACCGAAAUGACCUAAACAUCUGCCCAACUUACAGCCCCUCUUUUCUCCUUGCCCUCAUGUCAGCCUGCCCUCACAGAACUUUCUGAGCCAGAGUGUGAUCCUUGAGCUAACAUUCGUAUUCGUGAGAGUACCAGAAUGGAGUAUUUUGAGCUCACUAUUAGUUACUUUUCAAUUACUAGAUGGGAGAGUAAAGAGACAUGACAGUUUGACCUUGACUCUCCUGUUAUGAACCAUCUAGAAAAUUGUGACUGCCAGAUGGACUUUUUUUAUUCCCAACUUGACAAUCCUAGGAAGGUUUUAUACUGAAAGGUUUAGUGUCAAGCAUGUAUUUUGUUAAUAAAAAUAAAGCAAGAAUUGGUAGAUAUUCUUGACAACUUUUUACAUUUAACUUUGUGAAUCUACUUUGAUUCAAGUGGCACAACGUUGAUUAAAGAAUUUUAAAGGUGUUAUAUGCUGUACUCAGGAAGCAUUGUGUUACUAGAAGUUUUUUUCCUCUCUUAAAUUUAAACCUUAUGGUUAAAGUGAAAUCAUCAUUUAUCUUAAAACACUUCUGAUCUCUCAAUUCUGGGCAAAGACGAGGAAUUUGCCCUAAUUUUUUCUAUAGAUCUUUUGAGUCUCUAGGUUGACAAUGUAGAAAUACUGUAGUUGUUUCUUCCUAAUCCUGCUAUCCCAUGAUGUAGUGAAGUCAGGCAAGAUUAUUAAUAAGAUGAUUAUUUGGUAGCGAUUACAGGUUUAUUGAACUUGGAAAAGCAGAUAUCACAGUGUUUUUGAACUGAAAAAGGGUCUUCAAAAGCAUGAGUGUUAGUUGGGAAUAGAAAGAGAUCUGGGCUAUAGUUCAUAUUCUCCCUUGACCCUGUGACCUUGAGCAAGUUACUUCUGUAUCCUGGUUUCCUCAUCUGUCAAUUGGGGAGCACAUUCAUUGACAUGUUUAUUGAGUACUCGGUGAUUUCCAUCCAUUCAGAUUGUUAUGAUGACUGUUCUAAAGUCAUGAGAAAGUAGAAUAUAUUUGUUUAUGAUCUGGUAGUCCGACUUCCUCUUUGACAGAUAAUCCAAGACCGUGAGAACCCCGGUGACUUCCAGUAGCAGUCAGGACUAAUAUUCAGGUCUCUAUGUUUGUUCAUUUAGCUAAGGUGAAUGAACACCAUUAUACCACACUGCCUCCCAGUAGCCAGGCUGUCUACGUUAAAUAACGGCCAGCUAACACAGUCCUCUGAAAACCUUAUAAAUUUACCUCUUUUGUGUUUAGCUCCAUUUAAGAGGUGAUGAUACUAUCUUAGCUGUCAUGUCUGCAUAACCCUGUCCAUGCAUAAAAUUUUCCUACCUCAUUCACCGCAUAUUUGCUGAGCACCCACUGUUUACUGUAGAUACAAUGACAAGCAAAAACAGACAAUUCUUGUUCUCCUGGAGCUUCCACUAUAUUCCAAUGUAUUCUACUGUAGAGAACCUUGGAGAUCUUCAGUCAAAAUAUUUUUCUUCUGCCUUGGGCUAGACCAAAGGUGAAGGUACAUUAAUAGAGUGAUGGCAAUUACUACUAUCACCAAGAGUAGCUAAUGUUUAUCUUACUGUGUGCCAGUAAUUUCAUGUGACCCUGCGAGAUAAGGCAGACCAGUCAGCUCUGUCCUAUAGAUGAAGAAAGAGAAUUAGAGCAGAAAUGUAGUGUAAUGGUUAAGAGUGUGGGUCUUGCAUCACACUACCUUAUUUGAAUGCUGACUCUCAUACUCAUUGGCUUUGACUUUGGGCAGGUUACUUCACCUCUCUGUGUUGUUUCUUCACCUAUAAGAUACGGAUAAUAGUAGAUCUGACUUAUCUAAUGAUAGUAUUGUAACUGCAAAGUACUUAGAAUCCUGUCUGCAUCUGGUAAGUGUGAUAUUAUGGUUAAGUAAAACAAAAUUAACUUGCUUAGGGCCUUACCACUAGCAGAUUUGAUUUGAAUCUGCACCUUUCUGUUCCAAAGCCUGAGGUUCUAGCCCUUGCACUAACUAUACUGCUUCCCUUUGGAAUCAAGAUUCAGCCUGUUGGCCAGGGUACCAUUAAUGCUCCAUAACCUGAGAACAGUGCUCUUAAAGUUGAAAACGUUCUAUCAUUUGACAGGAUUUGCUAUUAGAUAGUAAAAUUAGAAACAGAAUGAAGGAAAUUUAGGUGAAAAUUUUGAAAAGCCAUGUUUAAUUUACUCUCUGGUUUUUAUCAUUUUUGUGCAAAUGACUAUGAAUAAUUAAAGAAAGGGGUUGGGCACUUGCAAAUACAUUUAGGUUUUGGUUUUACCUUGAGUAUUGGGGUGCUGAGUUUUCAUCAUGUGACCUUGAGGAAGCCAUGUAACCACUUGUAGGUAAAUCUGAGAUGGCAUUUAACUCAAAGAAGUCUGACAUUUGGCAGAAAUUAAAAGUGCCUCUAUAAAGUACCAUGUAAAAAAAAUCUUUGAAUUGUGAAACAGGUCAUUCUGGUUACAUGUUCACUGUGGUACCCUCUCAAGUGUCCUAUAGUCAACUGUCGAUUUGAAUUGAGUGAAUGAAUGAAUGAUUGAAUGGAUGAGUAAACAAAACUUCCAAUCUCAGUUUGAGCAGAUGGGGUAGAAUCACCGUCUUGAGGACUAGGGGAGCAUACCAUUGUCUUUUGGACCAACCGUUCCCAAAAUGUUUAUUGAAAUUUUACUAUAUGCCUAGCACUGUUCUGGACGCUGGGAGUGCAAUACUGAACAAGAAUAGCGGAACCUAUAUUGUAGUUCUGGGGAGCCAGAAAAUAAGCAAGUAGACGAAUAAGAAAAUUCUAGUUACUGAGUGCUACAAGGAAGAUAAACUGGGAUAGUGUGGUAGAGUUAGGGUGGGCAUGUGGUGUGUCAUGGAUUUUACUGGGGUGAUUGGGGAAGGCUUCUCAGAAGGGGCGACAUUUGAGCUGAGGCUUAGUGAUGAGAAGGCAGUCCUUCAGCAUUUUGGGAGAGGAGACUUCAAGUAGAAGGAGCAGCACGUGCAAAGCCCCUGAGAUAAGUAUGCGCUUAGUGUGUCGAGGAUGAGAAAUAAGGCCAGUGUGGCUGAGGUGUUGAGAGGAGAGGAUGGUGUGAUCAAGAGGUCACACCAAGUUACCAGGGUCAUAGAGGCUCUGGUAAGGACGUUGGGUUGUACUCCAAGUGUAAUGAAGGUUUUAAGCUGUGGAGCGACAGGAUCUGAUUUAUGGUUGAGAGGAGUCUUCAAGCUGCUGCAUGGAUGAUGGCCCACAGAGGGACAGAGGAGGCAGCAAGGAGACCAGUGGGGCUGUUGGAGUUAACCAGGGAGUGGUGAAGGUGUCUGGGACUAGGGUUCUGGUAGUGGAGCUAUUUUGGAGGCAGAUGGGUUGGAUGUAGAGUGUAAGGCAUGGGAAAUAAUUGAGGACAACACUUAGGUUUGGGGCGUGAGCAGUUGAGGGAUAGGUGACCUUGAAUUCAGUAGUUCUCUGUUUUCAUAGUACUCGUAAAUCUUAGGUAGAGCUGAAAGUGAUUCAUAAGUUCUUGAUCCUUUUAUCAGCUCUCAACAGGUACUUGUAUUUCACUGAUAAGGAAGCAGGAUAGGGUCAAUUGUCUUGUCCCAGGCUCUCUCAAUUGAGUAUGAGCAUCUUGUCUGCCGUGAACCCUGUUCUAUCUUGGGCUUUAUUCUGGUACCUGGUGCCUCGGGAGGGCCAUGUGGGAAGUAUUUAAAAUGAAUGUUGAUGCUUGAGCGGUCAUCUUCAUUGGCUCCAGCUUUCUUUGACACCCUGGUUUGGAAGGCUCUGGACCUGUCAGCGUAAAGGAGGGUAAGGACUGCAAGGAGGCUGCUCACAGUAUUUUCAAAGCAGCACGUAGACUAUCAGGAAUCUUGGGGAGACUUACUCUGCCACAGUCUUACCCUGUGGCUUCAACAAGGUCUCAACCCUCUGUGGCCCUCCGGUUACACAUCUGCAGAAUGGAACAUUAAUAGCUAUCCUCCCAUUAAGAAAGGUCCUGAAGGCCUAAUCAUAUUUGAAAAAUUCUUUAAACUCUAAUGCACUAUAAAAAUUUGUGAAUGAUUUCUGGUGUUAUUUUAGGAAUACACCCUUAAUCAGCCUAUAGAAGCCUUUCUUUAUUUGGGGGUCCUAAAAAGCAUGGAGAAUGGUUUUGGGGGUUUCAUUCUGCAAAGCUUGGGCCAGAGGGAAGGGCACCGGCUUUGGAGCAAGGUCAAGAAUUUCACCUUUGCCCUGUGGCCCUCGGCGAAAUAGUUAACAUUCCAGAGCCUCAGUUUCCCAUUCUGUAAAAUGGGCACACUGUUUUCUGCCCCAGGGGGUAGUUGUGAGUAUUAAAUGGGACUGUGUGUACGAAGUACUUGGGGCAAAUCUGGCGCAGGGUCUCAGCCCUUGGGGAAUGUUUGUCUCUGUCUCUAGCCCUGUAUGUGGCCCACGGCCUCCAUCGCCCCAGCGCUUACCCUCAGCUCAUAGGUUUGGAAAAACUGGCUUUAAGGAAACCGCUUCGUCCUUCCAUAAUCUCCAUGGAUACUGGCUCAGUUCUUGGAGUUGCCAGGAGACGCUUGGAGAGUUCAGUGUUGUGCUCUAGAGCCAGACCGUCUUUGAACGCCGACAUGAUUAUUCUCUAUCUGCAAGACCUUGGACCAGUCACUACCCUUCUGCAGCCCUCAGUUUCCUCAUCCGUUAAGUGAGGCUCGUAUACAGUAGGGCUGUUCAUCCAUGUAAAGCGCUUAUAACUUGGCACUCAGUAGAAAGUAUUAAAUAUUAUUACUACUACUAA